GAUCCUGGCUCAGGAUGAGCGCUGGCGGCGUGCUUAACACAUGCAAGUCGAACGGAGGACCCUUGACGGAGUUUUCGGACAACGGAUAGGAAUCCUUAGUGGCGGACGGGUGAGUAACGCGUGAGGAACCUGCCUUGGAGAGGGGAAUAACACAGUGAAAAUUGUGCUAAUACCGCAUAAUGCAGUUGGGUCGCAUGGCUCUGACUGCCAAAGAUUUAUCGCUCUAGAUGCG
rnacentral:rRNA from 1 species